UUGUUGAUUGCUGCUAGUGAGAAGAAACACACAAUGGGUCUAUUUUUAGCAGAGGUGGCUUUGAAGGAGCAGGAGAUAUUAACAAUUGCUUGGCUGCAUUCUUAAGUUCCAAGGAUCCUGGGCAAGAAUAUUAGGAGCCUGAGGGGUACCCAAAGGAAACCCAUCUAUGUGACCCAACUUGGGCUGAUUGAAUGCAAACCAGAGCAGAAAGAAGCAGAAACACAAUUAUGGACUUAGGAAACGGUUUGAAACUAACGGGGCAGAGGGAGUUUGACAGAGAGGAGAACAAAUCGCUGACAAAGAACCUUUUACGUUUCAUCAGCGUUGUUAGGACGACAAGCAGGAAUGUCUCAGAUAAUAACUCCCACUUCAAAGAUUUCUCAGCUCAAUAGAAAGCGGACCAUCCUUUUUAUUCAACCACAAGGACUGGCACUAAAGAAGACUCCACUGUUUGAUUUUUUUUUUCACUGUGUUUAUUUUUCCCCUAUUCACUGGGGUACUUGGAUAAAAUAAACAACAAGACAAUUAAGGGAACAUGGACUUCUAACUUUCCUGCCAUCUUCCCCACAUCCCCUUGGCCUUGGGCUCUUGAGUUUGCAUCUAGGACUAGUCCAGGCCUAAGGGUACCACACACCCUGCCUUAGAAAGAAACAAGUUUCAGGGGCCGCAAGAGACUUUUGGGAUGGAAAGGAAGAAGAGUGGCACGGAAAGCCAGAGUGGAAAUUCCCAAGGGCACAGUCUGAACUCCUCAGACUCCCCCAGGGUGGCUCCCUUCCCCCCAAGUCGCCAUUAAAUUUAAGCCUCCAUCCUACUCAAGAGUCAGAAAGGCGAUUUGCACAAAACUGAGCUUGGAAUGCUCAUUUGUUAAGCUUCGGAGGCUGCUUUAAAAUCUUUCACUCCUGAUCCUGGAGCCUCUUUGGGGUGCAGUCAAGAUGCACAGAGUCCUUGUGCUCCUCCCUUUCCUGAAAGUGUCCCCUGCGCCAAAGCCUCCCACAUCAGGGUGCAGAGUGAACCCCUAAACGUGGGCAAGUCGGGUUCUAGAAAGGAAGUAUAUACUGGAGAGCGCAGUGACAGUAUUAAAUGGCGUGAAAGCAAAGGUCAGCGCAAAUGUAUCUUAAUAGAGUGUCUGUAGUGAAGUGUGCCGCCUUUGAAGCGGCCGCUCCCCGCGCGUAUUUCCAUGGCGAGCCUAACGCGGCAUGCUGAUGCACCGUCAAACUCACACUUUCAACCCCAAAACCCGACUCUUUGAACAACCCGAGCUUGAUUAGACCUUUCUCCUUUUCUUUCCCCUCUUACAAACCAUUUCCUCGCCUUUAGAAACUCGCCAUCAAACCCAAACGCGCCCUCUGAUCACCGCAGAAAGCAGAAACAAAGGGGGCUGAGCGGCGAUUCAAGCGGCUCUUUUCUUCCUUCACAUUAUUAUCCAUUUUUAUUAUGAUCGGGUACAAGUGCCCAUUCGCGUGGGUUUUGUUUACCGGAAAUUAAAUGAAAAUGAUUUAGUCCGCGUCAAACAAAAAUAUAUACUUGUAUACACAAGAAAAAAGGUCUGUUAGACGUAAAUAUUAUGUCCUUAAUGAAAAGCCUGGACGGGCUCCAGGCUUGGCCUUUCAGGAUUUCAGUGCGACUUGCACAUUGCCAUAGAAAUCCUAACUUACCAUGAAGAUGCACCGUGGCGAAGAAACACUGCUUUGUGCGCGGGCCCUUUGAUGUAGCAGGCGCGAGAUGCGGGGCGCUCAGCUGCGCGGAGCGAGAUUACCUUGCGAGCAACGCGGUGGACAUCUGUAACAAGCAAAUGAAAAAUUAAAGGCGAUUAGUGGCCGACCAAA
rnacentral:lncRNA from 1 species